UUGUUCUCCAAUUCUUAGCUGCUGCAAUAAACACCUUACCAAUUCUCACAAAUGGGCUUCUCUCAUCCUUUUUGACACUAUAUCGAUAAGUCCUAGUCCCAAGCAAGAAAAGGAGCAGUGCCGCUAUCAUGACAACGCAUGGAAUUCCAAAUCCAAGACCCCAAUUCAAGUUCUCUUGAAUGUAGGUCAAGACAGAGUAAGUUAUUACAGUACCAAAGCAAAGACCAAAAUACCACCAGUUGAAAAAUGAGCUUUUGGCUUUGCAUUCCUCUGGAUUUCGUCCAUCAAAUUGGUCGGCUCCAAAUGCCUGGGUGCAAGGCUUGUGCCCACCUUGCCCUACUGCCACUAAAUAUAAUGAGAAAAAGAAGAGGAUUAUUUGGAGCUGAGGAGGAGAACAUGAUGUGAUUUGGUUGCUUUCUUUGCAGUCAGAAGGGCUGGGAGAAGGAAGCACAGCAGACAGUGUUAACAACCCUAGUCCCUGCAUCAUGUCAAUCCAUUCAAAGAUAAUCAUCCUUCAAGCAUAGAAGAAGCUUCCAACGGCAUGCUAGAAUUAGUGCUUUAAAAACCAGACUGAAUUUUAUACAUUUUGAAAUGAUUUUCUUCCUAACAUUACUAAUUUCUAUCUAGUCCUCUAUAUGAGUAUGAAUUUUUCAACAAUGGGGAGAGUCUAGAAUCAGAUGCAGGUUAUUUCCCCGGUGACUCGUUGCCAGUGUUCAAGGGACCAGGAAAUGGUUGUAAUCUAGUAAUUCUUGUGGCUCUUAACACUAGAAAACUUUUUCCUGCCUUUAUAUAAGCACUGAUUUCAUGGACUCUAUGAGUGUUUUUCAAGCUAGUAUAUAUUUUCCAAAAAUAUUUCCUAAGGUCUUUAAAUUAAUUACCAAUACUAAAAUUGUCACAAUUCUCAUCCGUCUUUUAAGCCAUUAGAUUAUAUCUGUCGAAAUGCUAAGCAUAUCAAUAGUGAAGUUUAAUAUAGAAAAAAAGUUGUACAUUCUUUUAGUAAAAAGCGCAAUUAUUACAUGUUUUAGCCAUUAUCACACUUCAUUAUGAAUUGGAAAUUGUAACUUAUCACAUCUCAUCCAAAAGACUUUCAUCAUAAAAAUUAACGUUGAGCCUAAAACAUUGUCAAGACGAUCUUAGUUAAAGGAUAGAAAAAUGAAAGUAAAAAAGAAGCAUUUUCAUUAUUUUAAAAAGAUGAUCUUAGGUUUACAAUUUUUCUAAGAAUUACAAACCAAUUUAUUUUUUCACAAAAAUUUUCAAUGAAAUUCUAAAACCAAGAUGAAGUAGGAAAAUGUUGAGAGUGGUUAGAAAGGAAAGGAAACAAACAAAACAAAUUAAGGUGAAGUAGGAAAAUGUUGGAAGGGGUAAGAAAGGAAAGGAAAGAAUAAAUUAAACAAACAAAACCAAAGAAAAAAAAGAAAAAAAGAAAAAGAAGUGAUGAAACAAAACAAAGCAAAAUAAAAUAAAAGAAGAAGACAAAAAAUCUUUUUCCAAAUUCGAUAAGGGAAAGAGUUCCUAAUACUAUUUAUAUAUGAAUUUCUUUUAAUAAUGUGAAUGUACUCUAAAGACGUGAAAGUCCUUUGGAUUGAAAACAAAUAAUAUCUACAUAAUUGAAAGUGAUCUAUUAUAAAUGAUAUCAAUACAACAUCUGCAUAUGGGGAGGAGAGGGAGUGAGAUGAUUGUGAUAUUUUAUAUAGGGGAAAAAGUUAUGUAUGAACUUAUUUAAUCAUGUAGAUUUUUUUUAUAAUCGUGAAGAUCCUUUUAGUUUAAAAUGGACAAUAUCUACACGACUGAAACUGAAUUGUUACAAAAAUAGUAAAAAAAAUGAUAAUAUAUCUAUAAGUGCUUUAUAUACGAAUCAAGUCAAAUAGCCUCUCACAAACAUAAUAACAUAUACAUAAAUCACAUUCAGGACUAACAGAUUAUUAAAAUAAUAAACUGAUAAAUUUUGUUGUCUCUUUUAAAUUACUAGUAUAUAUUGAUGAAUGAUUACUAUUUUAAUUUAUUUACAUCUUAACUUAGAAGGUACAAUACCCAUAAAAUACAAGGAAGUAAUUGAUGGGAGACUUUUGUCCACAUUGAACUGAUACCCAGUGUAGUAGACUUCGAGGUUCAUUUUUUUUUGUCUCCCUUGGAUGGAUCACAACUCACAAGCCACAUGCUGCACGCUCAAUAUUUUAAAGCACGUGGCCAAUUUUUAAUCUUUCUAUAAUAUUCAUUUGAAAAGAAAAUAAUAAUUAAUUCACCCGAGAUAUAUUGUGAUUAACUUUCCAUUAACAUAAUCAUUAAAUAAUAGAGAAAUAAUCAUAUACCAUGAUUUUCCACCUAUUUUUGGAAUAAAUUACACUGAGAAAUCAUUAAUAAACAGUGAAGUAAAUUUGAGAUAAAAUGGAAGUCGGUCAAGAUGAAAAAAAGAUUGUUAGAAACUCACAAAUCUAAAGGAAAAACAGGCUGCAAUUAUGAGUGUAGAAGUGGGGUUUAUUAUUUGAUCACAUCAAGGAAAAACUCAUACGAGUUUCGAAGGAGCUGCAGGAAGCUAACCAGGAUGUAAAGAAGAGAAGCAAUAAUGAUGGUUCGGUAUCGGCCAAGAUAAGAAUCUGCAACGAAUGCUCCUACCAAUGGCAGUAGACUCCCCGUCCCUGUCCAUGUAUUCACAUUCUCGGCAGCACUGGCUAUGGACUGCCCUAAUCGACCCGUAAGAUAGUUUAUAAGAUUGGCCUGUAUGCCAUAGUAUGCAAACCUCUCUGCAACUUCAACACCUGCUUACAUAUGAAGCCGAGGUCUGUAUGAAGAAGCUUUGGGAAAUAAAUCAUUUUUAAUAAAUUUAUGGAUGGAAUUGGGGCUUACCUAUGAUGAAGUAUGCAGAUCUCCAACCGCCUGAGGUGGAUCUCCUGGCUGGACGGCCUUUGUGAUCCGUGUAGCCAUCGACGGUGUCUUCCAGCAGCGGAGAUUCGGGGCCUCCCGGAGUUCCAGCUAUGGUCAUGUUUGAGGGGGAAACACACCGGGGAAGGAUGUUUUCUGCUUUUGCUUUAGACUUUUCUUUGUGCUGUCAUAUGAUGUGUUUGUUAGGUACGGUUGUUAUCUUUUUCUUUAAGAGCUAUCUCGUGUCCACGACUUUUGGACAAGAGGAUUCAAUAAGUCUCUAUGCAAUUUUCCCUUUUAUAUGCUUCCACUGACAUGUGGUGUAAAUUUAUUCAAUGAAAUUGACCCAUGUGAUAGGUUGAGUGUGAAAUAGUUUAUUUAUUUAUUUUGAUGAUGGCAUCCACUGGAGCAUAAACCAUACUUCCGUAACCUAAAAGCCUCUUCAUGGAAACGAUGAACGAUAAAUGACUCCUAUUUAUACAGCUCAAUGCGACAAAGGAUGAGCUUUUGAAAGUCAGAUUUAAAGGUUGCGUGACAGGCACCAACCUAAUUAUGCCAUGAGAUAGUUUUAAUUUUAUAAAUUUAAAAUUAGUUCCUAUCUUGACUUUUAGACCAUUAUUAGGUUGUAUUUUCUUUUAUUGAAUAUUAGUUCCUAUCUUGGCUUUCAUACCAUUAUUAGGUUUUAUUUUUAAUUUGAAUUAAUUGAUUAAAAAAGAUAAAAAAAAAUCUCAUAUUUUUAAAUUUAACUUUCUUUAUUUCUUGUUUAUAGAAGUACCUUGUUUUUAUAUAAAAAUGCCACUUUAACAUAUUGAUUAUUUACAUGUAUUUUAAAAGAGGGUUAUUUUUAUAAGAAAAAUGUGAGGGUAUUUUAGUCUAAAACUGAUAUUUUUUAAGGUUAAAAAAAGUUAAGGAAUGAGGAUGAUUUCAUCACUUUUAUUCAAAUAACCCUUUUGAGUUUUGGGGUUUUCCUCCACCAAGUGGCAAAGGGCGAGACCGACACUCCUUAAUUCAGUUGGGACUUGAUCAUAGAAAAACUCUUGAAGACCGACCACGGUGAACACAUCAGUAAUUCCAAACAAGAUGUAUUGGGGAAGCAACCACCAUACUUUCAUUGGAAGAAUUGCAUUUGGCACAUCAACCAAGCCAUGUUCUUGCUGCAAUUACCAUGGAAAUAGCAGACAGAAACAUGCCUGUUCCGAUCCUCUGGAGCAUUGUUAUGCCAGAUGGCUUCCUAGUUAAGGUUCUUGCAAUGGGAACAAAGAUGCGGUCAUAGAUGGGAAUGGUGAGGACAAUGGAGAGGCCAAUAAAGGCUUGAAGUGAAGCAGCUGGUAUGUCAAACCCUGAUCCAAUUGACCUGUCCAUGGUGAAUCCUUGCUUUGUAAAGAAAGUAGAUGACUGAGCAUACACAAUAGCAUAGGCCAAACAAGUAGCCCCUAUGGGAAACAACCUUAAAACUGCCUUUGCUUCUUCAACAUCAUCAAUAGUACACUGCCUUCCAUUUCCUUUCGAACCAUCUUGUGCAAGCAAUGCCUUGUUCAGAAACCUUCCAAAAAAAUCAAGUAUAUGGAUAUAUAAAGGUCUAAGGAACCUUUUUAUGGUUUCUAAAAGUUAGAAAUGAAUCUAUAAAAGGUCUUGAUUUUGAAAAAUUCUGUACAAAGGAACAUGUUUCUAAAACAUUAUUUGACAAUGCAGAAAGGUGUUGCAAGGUUCCUCCAGCUAAAUCUUCUGUAGCCAUCGAUGAAGGUGUUGCUAGCCAGUUCUUAUCUGCUGCAAUAAACACCUGACCGAUUCUCAUAAAUGGGCCUCUCUCAUGGCCUUUGACACUGUACCGAUAAGUCCUAGUCCCAAGCAAGAAAAUGAGCAGCCCCAGUAUCGUGCCAAUUCAUGGGAUUCCAAAUCCAAGACCCCAAUUCAAGUUGUCUUGAAUGUAGCUCAAGACUGACAAGAGUUACUAUGUUAAUAACAAAUACACCAAAAAUCCACCAGUUGAAGAAUGAGCAUUUGGUUAUGCACUGCACUGGAUUUUGUCAAUCAAAUUGGUCUGCUCCAAAAGCCUGGAUGCAAGACUUGUGCCCACCUAGCCCAACUGCCACUAAAUAUAACGAGAAAAAAAAAGAUUAUUUGGAGCUGAGGAGAACACGAUAUGGUUUUGUUGCGUUUUGGGCAGUUAGAAGGGCUGAGAGCAGGAAACACAGCAGAUAAUGUUAACAACACUAAUCCCUGUAUUUGAUACCAACGCAUUCAAUGAUGACUAUCAUUCAAGUAUAGAGUAUGCUAAUUAAAACACACACUCAACCAUGUCAGAUAAACUAAAACAGAUUGGUGCCUUUAAGCAUGAUAAUAUUGUUAGUUUGAGGGCUUUAAACACCAGGCUGAAUUGUAGACAUUUUAACAUGAUUUUCUUCCUAUCACUGAUCUCUUUCUAUCCCUUGUAAGGUUACAAAUAUUUGAAUGAUGGGAUAGUCUAGAAUCAGUUGCAGGUAAUUAAUGUAACGCUCCGCUCUCAUCCAAUAGGUCCUCAUGACAUUAAAAUGCAUUUAUAAGAUUAAGAGUAGUUCCCAUAUAUAUAUAUAUAUAUAUGUAUGUAUAUAUAAUGUUAUAAACCUUUUUCUCUAUCUAAUGUAAGAUAUAACAAUCACCUUUUAUCUAGACAUGGUGUCCUCAUCUUGUUGUAUAGGAUUGUAGGGUGAAACAUACAAAUGACCCUUGUGAAGCCAAAUAUAUAAUUAACUCCCACACUAUUUGGGGAUUGACUUUAAUAUUAUUUGUAAUGACUUACUUCUAACCGUAUAUAUAUUGUCUAUUCUAUUGUGAUAUUCAACAACAAAUAGAAGUAAAAUUUUUUAGCUCUAUGUAUGAAUGAAUUAUUCUUAAUAUUGUAAUGCAUUUUAAAACCACGAGAGUUUGUUCGGUUCAGAGUGUACAAUAUUUAUAUCAUUGACAGAGUGGGUACAAAUAAUUUUUCUAGUGACUUGUUACCAGAACUAAGCUAGACUCAGGAAAUGGUUGCAAACAAAUCUAGUAAUUCUUAUGGUCGUAGCACUAGAACAUAUCCACUAAUCAGUUUUCCUGCCUUCAUAUGACUGCUAAUUUCAUGGAUUCCCAUGAGUCUUUUCAAAGUAGCAAGCAAAGGGUGGGGAUGAGCAAGACACUAUUGUACUCCAAUCAUAUCAAUUCAUUUCAGAAAGCCAACCAAAAUCAGGAAAUCUAUUUUAUCACUGGAUCAUAUCAAUGACAAGGUCAUUACUAUUAUGAAGGAGGAGGGAAACUAACCAGGAUGUAGAGAAGAGAAGCAUUAAUGAUGGUGGCAUAACGACCAAGAUAAGAAUCUGCAACAAAUGCUCCUACUAAUGGCAUCAAACUCCCCGUCCCUGUCCAUAUAUUCACACUCUCGCCAGCAGUGGGAUUGGACUGUCCCAGUCGGUCCGUGAAGAAGUUUAUAAGAUUGGACUGUAUGCCAAAGUAUGCAAACCUCUCCGCAACUUCAGCACUUGCUUACAUAAAUAUGAAUCUGGAGUCCUUAUAAAGAAGCUAUUUGGAAUAUAAGCAUAUAAUUUCAUGGGUAGGAUUAGUGGUUAGGGGUUGGUACCCAUGAUGAAAUAUGCGGAUCUCCAACCGCCGGAAGUGGGUCUCUUGGCUGGACGGCCCUUGUAAUCGAUGGAGCCAUCGACUGUGUCUUCCAGCAGCGGAGAUCGGGGGCCUCUGGGAGUUCCAGCCACAAAACACACCCGGAAGGAUAUUUUCUCAUUGUUCUUUUGGCUUUUUCUCGGUACAGUCUUGCAAUCAAUUUGUGGGGCUUGUUAUCCUUUUACUAUAGGGGCUAACUUGAUCUUCAGUAGUCUUCGUGUUCUCCAAUGUGAUGAAAUUUAAGCGUGUGCCCAAAAGCACAUUCCAAUGAUAUUUAGGCCGCUGACAUGGAAAGAUAAAUACCCAAAAAAAGAAAAAGAAAAAGAAAAAAAGGACAUAAAAACAAUUUUAAAAUUGCAUUAUAUUCAAAAUUUGCUCAUAUUGAAAUUAUAAAUUUACCCUCACUUAAUGAGCUUACGUGUUUAGCACAUAAUACUUCUGUUCAUUAAAUUUAACAUCGUUACAUGACAAGUGUACAUUGCAAGCAUUUAAGAUGUAUAGAUGACACAUUACUCGAUUUUAAAUAUGGGGAGACAAUAUAAAAAACAUGUAAUAGGUUGAAGGGUAAAAUAUAAUAAAUCCCAAUUUUUAAAUAUAAUUAUUAAUCCAUUAUUAAUUAGAUCAAAGAAUACUUUUGAAAGUAAUUUAUUUAUAAAUUAUUGCAAGACUCUACCCUAACAAACUUUCUGUGUAAAGGGUUAAUGAUGAAGAGAUACAAAAUUUAAUAAUCUUGGAUAAUCAAAUCAAAAUAAGAUAUGUAAAUGUGCUCUAACCGCUUGUGAUCAAUUCAUAAAAACUUAUAUAAAAAAAUAGGAACUCAAAACAAGUAUGUGCUCGAGCAUUGUUGACCCACAACAACUAAGAGGGUUAUCCGACCCAACAUUUUAAAACUACUUGAUUUUGGUAACUACAUAACCUAUCACAUAUGCCUUUCUAGAGCUUCAAAAGCAUUAUGCUUACUACAUAAUUUGCGCAUUCUCUCUAAGCUAAAAGGUCCUCUAGGAGUGGUGUUGACAUACCAACUAUGAGUUUGUGUCUAAAAUUGAGAAGGGCCAUGUUGGUGAAGUGUGAGUGAUUUACAACAAUUGAGGCAAUAACAUUCAUAAUGUACUUCCCCUAUUGUAUAUGUAAGACUUUGCAAAAUACAGGUAUAAACUCAAUCCUACUGCACUCAGCCCUGCAAGAACCCAAUAAUAGUUAUCGAGAUGUGCCCGAUUGAGAUUAUCGUUGAACCAGCUAUGUUGGCCAUCUCCACCAGUUGCUUUUUCAAUUGCAGAGAUAAGAAAGCUGCUCAGGAAGUUCCCUACACCUAAGAUACUGAGGUAGAGGGCGAUACCGACACUCCUUAAUUCGGUUGGGACUUGAUCAUAGAAAAACUCUUGAAGACCAACUAUGGUGACCACAUCAGAAACUCCAAACAAGAUGUAUUGGGGAAGCAACCACCAUACACUCAUUGGAAGAGUCACGUUUGGCAUAUCAACCAGCCCAUGUUCUUGAGCUGUUUUUAGCCGUUUCAUCUCAACUAGCGCUGCAACUACCAUGGAAAUGGCGGACAGAAACAUGCCUGUUCCGAUCCUCUGAAGCAUUGUUAUGCCAGAUGGCUUCCUAGUUAAGGUUCUUGCAAUAGGAACCAAGAUGCGGUCAUAUAUGGGGACAAUGAGGACAAUGGAGAGGCCGAUAAAGCCUUGAAGUGAAGAAGCUGGUAUGUCAAUCCCCCAUCCAAUCGAUCUGUCCAUGGUGAUUCCUUGCUUGGUAAAGAAAGUAGAUGACUGUGCAAACGCAAUAGCAUACACCAGACAAGUAGUCCAUAUGGGAAACAGUCUUAAAACUGCCUUUGCUUCUUCAACAUUAUCAAUGGUACACUGCCUUCCAUUUCCUUUGGAACCAUCUGGUGCAAGCAACGCCUUGUUCAAGCACCUUUCAAAAUAGAAAGUGACCCAAAUAUGAUAUGUUAAAUGAAUUCCAAUGAAGUAAAAGUUAGCGCAAAAGGAAAAAAAAACUAUCAAAUUUCAAAAGACCAAUCUCUGAGGAUCAUUUUUACUACAGCCUUACUUGAAUUGUUGAGAAACCUGGUGAUGUGGGGCUUCUCUAGCUAACUCUUCUGUAGCUACCAAUGAAGGCAUUGUUCGCCAAUUCUUAGCUGCUGCAAUAAACACCUUACCAAUUCUCACAAAUGGGCUUUUCUCAUCCGUUUUGACACUAUAUCGAUAAGUCCUAGUCCCAAGCAAGAAAAGGAGCAGUGCCGCUAUCAUGACAACGCAUGGAAUUCCAAAUCCAAGACCCCAAUUCAAGUUCUCUUGAAUGUAGCUCAAGACAGAGUAAUUUAUUACAGUACCAAAGCAAAGACCAAAAUACCACCAGUUGAAAAAUGAGCUUUUGGCUUUGCAUUCCUCUGGAUUUCGUCCAUCAAAUUGGUCGGCUCCAAAUGCC
rnacentral:lncRNA from 1 species